UAGAAACAAGGGGUGGCUCAACUUCCCCACAGGCUCGAAUCAACCCGCUCUCCAUACAAAUGUGCGGGACUGUGCAAGAUGGAGUGCAACGAAAAAUAUAGAGCUGCCAGACUCAGGGUUUGCUAACCGCUGCCAGGGAGGAGGGCUCGGUCUGUGGACUGGCGCCCUGGUGAGAUGAGACUGCAUCAUCAGCAGAGCACCAGCAUCUCCGCUUCUCAGCAGACCCCAUGCUGCCCUGCAUCACUGCCUGGCUCGGCUCCAUAUCGCCUGAAGAGAAAAAUUUGCAUCCACGCCUCCUCAUUUUGCACGUGCCCUUGCAAACUCACCGCUCUCAUUUCAACACUUCUUGCUCUAAUGACUGAAUUAUUGCUCUUCACCCUCCACAAAACCAGCCACAGCGAUGCAUGCUAUGACCCAAUGUACACACCAAUGGAAGGAAAAAAAAGCGGGAUAGGAAAAUGCCGCCAAGAUUGAGAUGUGACUCAGACCGUGAGUUUGCAAUCUAUUAACAGCCUAAUAGAUAUUCCCAUGGCUUCUGUUUCAAGGAGAAAGAAAACU